AGUGAACGCUGGCGGUAGGCCUAACACAUGCAAGUCGAACGGCAGCACAGUAAGAGCUUGCUCUUACGGGUGGCGAGUGGCGGACGGGUGAGGAAUACAUCGGAAUCUACUUUUUCGUGGGGGAUAACGUAGGGAAACUUACGCUAAUACCGCAUACGACCUACGGGUGAAAGCAGGGGAUCUUCGGACCUUGCGCGAAUGAAUGAGCCGAUGUCGGAUUAGCUAGUUGGCGGGGUAAAGGCCCACCAAGGCGACGAUCCGUAGCUGGACUGAGAGGAUGAUCAGCAACACUGGAACUGAGACACGGUCCAGACUCCUACGGGAGGCAGCAGUGGGGAAUGUUGGACAAUGGGCGCAAGCCUGAACCAGCGACACCGCGUGGGUGAAGAAGGCCUUCGUGUUGUAAAGCCCUUUUAUUGGGAAAAAAAAGCAGCAGGUUAAUACCCCGCUGUUCUGACGGUACCCAAAGAAUAAGCACCGGCUAACUUCGUG
rnacentral:rRNA from 1 species